CAAUAGCUAGGUUGUAAUUGUGUAUGAGGCUCAGCUUUAUAAACUAGAACAAGUGUUCAACUCUACAACUAUCCUCUAUCAAUUUUCAACAUCAGUUCUAUUUCAAACAACAUAUUAAAUGUAUCCAAGAGUGAAAGUGAGGAUUACAGAGCAAGAAGACUAUCUUUAUCCUGAAAAUGAUAGUGGAAUUUUGGCUUUUUUGAAGCUCAUUGAGUCUUUACACUUUGAAGCAUCGGCUUCAAACAUGAAAUUGUUAAUCUUUGAAUGCAGAAGAGGAGAAUCAAAGUAAAAGUCAACAAUCGAAUUCCAAAAACAAUGAUCUCUAUUUUUUGGAGGAGAAUGAGAGUAAAAGUCAACAAUCAAAUUCCAAAAACACAAAGGUCUGUCCUCAACAUAUAAUAACAAGAAGAUUCACUCCUUCAACCAAAGGAAUAUUGAAAAAUAGCAAUCGAGCCGGCGAGAUUGUUCCAAAAGAAAAUGCAAGAGCUAGUUCUGUUAUACGCCCACGUGCAGUCCUAUCUAGUCCCGAUAAUGAUGAAUUAAUUGGAAGUAUACAUGACCUGAACAACAAUGUAUCCUUAACUAAGAGAAAUAAAGAUGCAAGAGGGACCAUGAGAGGUCAUGCCAAGGUUUUGGCUAAUCAAAGGCAAAGCUCCUCCAAAAGCAAAGUGCAAUUUUGAAACUUAAUGAUCUUAAAAGAAGGGGCAUCAAAUUCAGUUGGAAUAUGAUUCCUAUACUACUAUGUUGUGCAAUUUUGUAAGAGUGAAGUUUUGGCAUAUCAUACAUGCCUUUUUGUGUGCAUGGACAGUUUGUUUUCUACUGAAGACACUAGUUGUUUAUCUUACUAAUGUAUUCUGAGAUAUUCAUGUAACAUUCUUAAUUCAACAUAUAUUAUUUUCAUUUUGAGGCCA